CCUACGGGAGGCUGCAGUGGGGAAUAUUGCACAAUGGGCGCAAGCCUGAUGCAGCCAUGCCGCGUGUGUGAAGAAGGCCUUCGGGUUGUAAAGCACUUUUAGCGGGGAGGAAGGCGGUGAGGUUAAUAACCUCAUCGAUUGACGUUACCCGCAGAAGAAGCACCGGCUAACUCCGUGCCAGCAGCCGCGGUAAUACGGAGGGUGCAAGCGUUAAUAGGAAUUACUGGGCGUAAAGCGCACGCAGGCGGUCUGUCAAGUCGGAUGUGAAAUCCCCGGGCUCAACCUGGGAACUGCAUUCGAAACUGGCAGGCUAGAGUCUUGUAGAGGGGGGUAGAAUUCCAGGUGUAGCGGUGAAAUGCGUAGAGAUCUGGAGGAAUACCGGUGGCGAAGGCGGCCCCCUGGACAAAGACUGACGCUCAGGUGCGAAAGCGUGGGGAGCAAACAGGAUUAGAUACCCUUGUAGUC
rnacentral:rRNA from 1 species